rnacentral:piRNA from 1 species
UGCAAGACCUUUACGGGCACUGGAAGUCAC